AAGUAAAAAUCGUAACAAGGUCUCCGUUGGUGAACCAGCGGAGGGAUCAUUACCGAGUUUACAACUCCCAAACCCCUGUGAACAUACCACUUGUUGCCUCGGCGGAUCAGCCCGCUCCCGGUAAAACGGGACGGCCCGCCAGAGGACCCCUAAACUCUGUUUCUAUAUGUAACUUCUGAGUAAAACCAUAAAUAAAUCAAAACUUUCAACAACGGAUCUCUUGGUUCUGGCAUCGAUGAAGAACGCAGCAAAAUGCGAUAAGUAAUGUGAAUUGCAGAAUUCAGUGAAUCAUCGAAUCUUUGAACGCACAUUGCGCCCGCCAGUAUUCUGGCGGGCAUGCCUGUUCGAGCGUCAUUUCAACCCUCAAGCACAGCUUGGUGUUGGGACUCGCGUUAAUUCGCGUUCCCCAAAUUGAUUGGCGGUCACGUCGAGCUUCCAUAGCGUAGUAGUAAAACCCUCGUUACUGGUAAUCGUCGCGGCCACGCCGUUAAACCCCAACUUCUGAAUGUUGACCUCGGAUCAGGUAGGAAUACCCGCUGAACUUAAGCAUAUCAU
rnacentral:rRNA from 1 species